GACCGCACGGGAUAAUAGCAAUUAUCGCGUGUGGUUGGCUUAAGUGGCCCGCACGGGAUAAUCGAUUAUCCCGUGCGGUC
rnacentral:pre_miRNA from 10 species